rnacentral:lncRNA from 1 species
CAAACUAGCACUCAAGGUCAAAAGUCACAAAAAUAUCACUUAAUGUUUUAUCAAAAGUUACAAACUUAGGGUUUAGAGUUAAAGGGUGGGGUUUAGGAUUUAGGGUUUAGGGUUUAGGGUUUAGAGUUUAGGAUUUAGGGUUUAGGGUUUAGAGUUUAGGGUUUAGGGUUUAGAGUUUAGGGUUUAUGGUUUAUGGUUUAGAGUUUAGGGUUUAGGGUUUAGGGUUUAAAAUUUAGGGUUUAAAAUUUAGGGUUUAGGGUUUAGAGUUUAGGGUUUAGGGUUUAGAGUUGAGAAAUGAGGUUUUGUGUUUAAGAUUUCAAAUUUUGAAAAAUAAAAAAAUUAAAAUUUUCAAAGGAUAAAUUUAGAAAGGUGCUAUUUUGGUCAUUUUAGUUUUUGAGUGCUAUUUUUGUGAUAUAAACUUAGAAAGGUGCUAUUUUGGAGAUUUGCCAGAUUUCAUAUCUGUUUUCGAAACAUAUGUAUUUAAUAAUUUUUAUUUAUUUUAAUAUUGAUCCUCUUUUUUUUGGAGCAACAAUAUAGAUCCUCUUCUCUAUCAAUGUUCGGCUUAUCUUCUCUUCUACCACUUUGUUCCACAGAUCUCCAUGAAGAAUAAGAUAUUUUCUUCCCUUUUCUUCUUCUUAUUUCCUCCAUUUUAUCUUCUUUCGUUCCUUUUUUCUCCUAUUUUCUUCUUCCCCUCCUCUCAUUCAUAUUCCUUAUGUUCUUUAGAUCUGUGAUUCUUCAAGAGACAUUCAUAUUUACUUUAUGUUUUUCUAGAUCUGUGAUUCUUUCAAGAGACACAACUACCACCUCAACUCCUUGGACCGCCGUAACUCCUUGCAUCACCACCACCACUGUAACUCUCUGCACCGCUACUCCGGAACUCCUUACACCACCACCGCCGGUACUCCUUCACCACCACCGACGGAACUCCUUACACCACCACGGCGGAACUCCUUGCACCGCCACCUGCAACUCCUUCUCAGUCACCGUCGCAACUCCGUGUAGCGGGAGCCUUCACAACAACACCGGCCAUCGAAGCACCGUAUAGUUAAAUAGUUUUAUUUUUAUUCUAUAGAAUUUUGUAAUUAAUUGUUUAUAUGUAAUAUAUAUUUGAUAGUGUAAUAUUAUUUGAAUUAUAUUUCUAUUUAUUUUAUUAAUUUGUUUUUUUUUUAAUUAAAAAUACUAAAUUGUCGGAAGUUUAUUGGUACAUAUCGCCUCCAAUGUUCCUCGGUAUCACUUCCGAUCACUCUCCGAGAAAGACUUUCGACAAGAUAUUUCAUCGGAAUUUACCUACUUGUUUCCGAGAAAUGGAAAUUACCGAGAUCCAAACUCCGACUAAUAUUCAAUUGUCGGAAAAUAGUGGGAACAGGUCAUUACCGU